rnacentral:rRNA from 1 species
GCAUAUCAAUAAGCGGAGGAAAAGAAACCAACAGGGAUUGCCCCAGUAACGGCGAGUGAAGCGGCAAGAGCUCAAAUUUGAAAUCUGGCCUCCCUUGGGGGGGUCCGAGUUGUAAUUUGUAGAGGAUGCUUCGGGUGUGGCCGCCGUCUAAGUUCCUUGGAACAGGACGUCGUAGAGGGUGAGAAUCCCGUCUUGGGCGGCCGGUCCGCGCCCGUGUGAAGCUCCUUCGACGAGUCGAGUUGUUUGGGAAUGCAGCUCUAAGCGGGUGGUAAAUUUCAUCUAAAGCUAAAUACUGGCCGGAGACCGAUAGCGCACAAGUAGAGUGAUCGAAAGGUUAAAAGCACCUUGAAAAGGGAGUUAAACAGCACGUGAAAUUGUUGAAAGGGAAGCGCUUGCGGCCAGACUCGAGGGGCGGGGUUCAGCGGGUGCGCGUCACCCGUGCACUCCCCGUCCCCCCGGGCCAGCAUCAGUUUCGACGGCCGGUCAAAGGCCCCCGGAAUGUGUCGUCUCUAGGGACGUCUUAUAGCCGGGGGUGCAAUGCGGCCCGCCGGGACUGAGGAACGCGCUCCGGCUCGGAUGCUGGCGUAAUGGCCGUAAGCGGCCCGUCUUGAAACACGGACCAAGGAGUCUAACAUCCACGCGAGUGUUCGGGUGUCAAACCCGUGCGCGCAGUGAAAGCGAACGGAGGUGGGAGCCCUAGGGCGCACCAUCGACCGAUCCUGAAGUCUUCGGAUGGAUUUGAGUAGGAGCGUGGCCGUUGGGACCCGAAAGAUGGUGAACUAUGCCUGAAUAGGGUGAAGCCAGAGGAAACUCUGGUGGAGGCUCGCAGCGGUUCUGACGUGCAAAUCGAUCGUCAAAUUUGGGCAUAGGGGGCGAAAGACUAAUCGAACCAUCUAGUAGCUGGUUCUGUUGA